GCAAACUUGGUCAUUUAGAGGAAGUAAAAGUCGUAACAAGGUUUCCGUAGGUAUGUAUUGUCGAACCGAUACCCCUUUGUUGAACAAUUGCUAACUGAAUUCCAGGUGAACCUGCGGAAGGAUCAUUAAAGGUUUAGGGUACCCAGUGCCCAAACUUCAACCCUAUGUUUUGUUAAGCUGUUUCUUUGCCGGUCUCGGCCGGCAGAAGACUUCUCAAACCCCUCAUGAAUCUGCUCUGAAUAUAACCAUAAAAAUCGUUAAAACUUUCAACAACGGAUCUCUUGGUUCUGGCAUCGAUGAAGAACGCAGC
rnacentral:misc_RNA from 1 species